GUAAUAACAACAAUUCACCAGACUCCACAAUCUUCUGAACAUAGUCACACUGAGAAAUACAGAGAGAGUUGUGUGGAGCUCAGAGUCUUAAUUAACUUUCUAUCAACUCAAUUUGGCAAUGG